AGCGAACGCUGGCGGCAGGCUUAACACAUGGAAGUCGAGCGGGCAUAGCAAUAUGUCAGCGGCAGACGGGUGAGUAACGCGUGGGAACGUACCUUUUGGUUCGGAACAACACAGGGAAACUUGUGCUAAUACCGGAUAAGCCCUUACGGGGAAAGAUUUAUCGCCGAAAGAUCGGCCCGCGUCUGAUUAGCUAGUUGGUGAGGUAAUGGCUCACCAAGGCGACGAUCAGUAGCUGGUCUGAGAGGAUGAUCAGCCACAUUGGGACUGAGACACGGCCCAAACUCCUAUGGGAGGCAGCAGUGGGGAAUAUUGGACAAUGGGCGCAAGCCUGAUCCAGCCAUGCCGCGUGAGUGAUGAAGGCCCUAGGGUUGUAAAGCUCUUUUGUGCGGGAAGAUAAUGACGGUACCGCAAGAAUAAGCCCCGGUUAACUUCGUGCCAGCAGCCGCGGUAA
rnacentral:rRNA from 1 species